UGGGGAAUAUUGCACAAUGGGGGAAACCCUGAUGCAGCGACGCCGCGUGGAGGAAGAAGGUCUUCGGAUUGUAAACUCCUGUUGUUGAGGAAGAUAAUGACGGUACUCAACAAGGAAGUGACGGCUAACUACGUGCCAGCAGCCGCGGUAAAACGUAGGUCACAAGCGUUGUCCGGAAUUACUGGGUGUAAAGGGAGCGCAGGCGGGAAGACAAGUUGGAAGUGAAAUCUAUGGGCUCAACCCAUAAACUGCUUUCAAAACUGUUUUUCUUGAGUAGUGCAGAGGUAGGCGGAAUUCCCGGUGUAGCGGUGGAAUGCGUAGAUAUCGGGAGGAACACCAGUGGCGAAGGCGGCCUACUGGGCACCAACUGACGCUGAGGCUCGAAAGUGUGGGUAGCAAACAGGAUUAGAUACCCUGGUAGUCCACACCGUAAACGAUGAUUACUAGGUGUUGGAGGAUUGACCCCUUCAGUGCCGCAGUUAACACAAUAAGUAAUCCACCUGGGGAGUACGACCGCAAGGUUGAAACUCAAAGGAAUUGACGGGGGCCCGCACAAGCAGUGGAGUAUGUGGUUUAAUUCGACGCAACGCGAAGAACCUUACCAAGUCUUGACAUCCCUUGACAGGCAUAGAAAUAUGUUUUCUCUUCGGAGCAAGGAGACAGGUGGUGCAUGGUUGUCGUCAGCUCGUGUCGUGAGAUGUUGGGUUAAGUCCCGCAACGAGCGCAACCCUUAUGGUCAGUUACUACGCAAGAGGACUCUGGCCAGACUGCCGUUGACAAAACGGAGGAAGGUGGGGAUGACGUCAAAUCAUCAUGCCCUUUAUGACUUGGGCUACACACGUACUACAAUGGCGUUAAACAAAGAGAAGCAAGACCGCGAGGUGGAGCAAAACUCAGAAACAACGUCCCAGUUCGGACUGCAGGCUGCAACUCGCCUGCACGAAGUCGGAAUUGCUAGUAAUCGUGGAUCAGCAUGCCACGGUGAAUACGUUCCC
rnacentral:rRNA from 1 species